UAAAGCACAGAAGGGAGAAAGGAUGGGGAGGCAAUCUUAGAUAUUUCUCCUCCCCUUUUGUUGUCCCCCUCCCCUUUCCCGAUAUUGAUAUUGCUCUGCUUUUUGAUCUCUGCACUUCUUUGUUUUGGCUUCACAGGUAUCAAGGGAAAAUGGCUAGCAGUGAGUUCUGUAGCUUUUCCUGCCCUACAGCCCCUCUGGCUUAGCCAGCUGGAUCACACUGAAUUAGUCAAGUACUUCAUUAUCUCCCUUCUCUGCACAUUUAGCUCCAGCCCCCACGCUCUUUAGCGGGAACAAACCCUUCCACAGCCAUACCAACCUCGGGGGUCUCUGAGCACUUCUCCACCUGCCUGGGAAGGACAGACAGCCUCUCCCAGCUGCCCACAGGUGGAAGCAGGCUGCGAGCCCUCCAUGCUGGUAAGUGCAAGGAUUAUAGAACAGCAAGAAAGCAAAUUGCUACAGUUAAAGAAAGAAAACAGCAGGACUAACGCGUUUUAGUAGGGGUACGUACACCGAGUCUCAGCAAUCUUUAUACUCUUUGUGAACAGCAGUUCUUUAAGAGCUUUACACCCAAUAAAAUUUAAACUUU